GACGAACGCUGGCGGCGUGCUUAACACAUGCAAGUCGAACGGAAAGGCCCCUUUGUGGGUACUCGAGUGGCGAACGGGUGAGUAACACGUGAGUAACCUGCCCUUGACUUCGGGAUAACUUCAGGAAACUGGGGCUAAUACCGGAUAGGAAUCCUUGCUGCAUGGUGGGGGUUGGAAAGCUUCGGCGGGUUUGGAUGGACUCGCGGCUUAUCAGCUUGUUGGUGGGGUAGUGGCUUACCAAGGCUUUGACGGGUAGCCGGCCUGAGGGGGCGACCGGCCACAUUGGGACUGGGAUACGGCCCAGACGCCUACGGGAGGCAGCAGUGGGGAAUAUUGCACAAUGGGCGGAAGCCUGAUGCAGCAACGCCGCGUGCGGGAUGACGGGCUUCGGGUUGUAAACCGCUUUCAGCAGGGGCGAAGCUUGUGGUGACGGUACCUGCAGAAGAAGCACCGGCUAACUACGUG
rnacentral:rRNA from 1 species